UUCUCAGUGCUCAUGGUGAUCAGUAGUGUAGUGACGGCCUCUCCAUAUCUGCUGGUGACCAUCAUUCUGCUGAUCAAAUGUUACAGAGCUCGAGCUCAAACUGAUGGAGAGAGAACCGUGAGUGCAGUCAUAGAGGACUGAGCAGAGUCACUGUAUAAAGAGAGAAUGCAAUGAUGUUUUUUUAUUUUAUUUUUUUUAAUUAUUGGAUGGAUUGUAUGAUAAGGUUUUUUUUUUUUUUUUGCUGUGAUGUUUUGCUUUCAACGCAAUCUUUGUAAGGUACAAUAGAAAAUGAGAAAAAUACUUAUGUAAAUAGGUUUUCAUUGUCAACAGCAGCCUCAUAGUGUAUAUUUUAUAUAUUAAUUGACCUUAACUGAAGCUGUACAAGGAGAUUUGUGGAUUUAGUAAUGUUCAGAGAUGUUACUUGUAAAAAGCAGGACAGUAAAACGCAAUGUUUCCUUACACCUUUAUGUAAAUGUAACACAGCAGCGUGUAUCAUUUAAUAGUAGAGGCAGUUCAGUGGGAUGUGUCAUUGUUUCUUAACAAGCUGAGAUAUAUUAUCUGUGAAUUAUAUGAGACAAAUAUAAGCUUCUUAUUAUUAUUAUUGAUAUUCUGGCUCUUUAUGCUUAAAGAAGGUACACAAGUGAGAGUGUAAACAAUGUUGAUUACAAAUCUGCUGAAUCCCCAGUCAACCAUCAAGUGUCACUGAAACGAGUCUUCAUCAGACUGCUAAAUUAGAUUGGCCUGACUAUAAAUCAACAUUAAAAUAUCCUUAACUGAAAUGCAUAUCAAAUUAAUAACUGUUGAAAUCAUUAACAAACCAUUUGUUUCCCACUGCCACAUGAGGUUUUGUUCCUGUUGUGUUCAGUGUAUUUCCAUCCUUAAUUCCAAUUGCAUUGUGGAGAGACCUUUAGGAUUGUUAUACUAUCGAAAAUGACCUUGAGUAGUCAUGUUGUAAAUUAGAUCCUGAGAGUUUUUACAGAGUCCUUUUUACAGUACCAAAGGAAUCCAUGGUACUUCUGGUCAUCAUCAGGAACACCACAUUCCCCAUCCUUAUGUAAACCACAUCAAGACACAUAUCAUGUUGUUAUUAGUUUUCUGUCAUUAAAAGGUUGUUGACGGAGAUGUCUUGGUAUUGUGCACUAAAUUGUAGGACGGUCCAGAUUGGGCUUGGCUUAUUUGGAAGGUAGAUUAAGAUUUUGAAUGUUAUGAGUAUUCCUGGGUAAAUUUGAGUGCAAAUUCUUCUUUUGCACAGCUAUUGUCAAAUAUAUUUUGCAUGUAUUUAAAUAACUGUUCCUUUACCUAUGCAUUGUGAUCUGUACAUUGUGAUGUAAGUAAUUUAAGUAGAUUUUCCUUGUUAUGUGUUAAACAAGGUCUGGGAACUUUAAAUAUUAAGGGUGAUACUCAGCUAUUGACUUUAUUCUUGCAGACCUCUCGAUCCAUGAGUCUGAUAAAAGCCAGGUCUUUUCUCGAAGCUGCAAUUCUGCUGUCAUUUCAGGUUCUUAUAUGACUAUCCAUGUUAAAUCCUCUUAACCUCACUUGUGUUUAAAUGUAAUUGAAUAUUCAUGAAAGGUUAAACAAGUUUUGAAGAUUUGCACAAAAUGGGUGGAGAAAUUUUUUGAAGGUAAAAAAAAUGGAAAAUGGGAUAUAAAAUAAAAAAACAGAAAAGUGAAAAAAAUGUGGAGACGGAAAAUAAAUCACGACAUGAAAGUAACAAUAAUAAUACUGAUAAUAACAACAAGAACGAUUAUACUUGUUAAUAUUUUUAUUGUUAAUGUUAUUGUCAUUGUUAUUAUGUUUUAUUAUUGUUAUUAUUAUUGCAAGCAGUUUUUUAGGUGCAUUACUGCCAACUGCUGGAAAGAAGUGAUAAAGCUUGAGGGUCUCAAUCGGUUUAAAUUUUUUUCUUUCCUGUUGCUGUUGACGUGAGUGGUGGUGGCAUCAUUUUAUAGUAACCAGUUGUCCACUGGAUGGUAGGUGACCAGUGUUCUCCAGCCUUGCUGAUUUACUUCACUCCAAAUGUUUUGUAAAUUGUAAGGGAUUCACAAAAUGAGUGGAUACUAUAUACAGUUUAUUUAUGCCAGUGUGAUUAUUAAAAUGUUAAAUAAAAUAAAUACAUAGAUACAAAUGAAGGAGUAUAAUCUGGUUAGUUGGCAAAUGUUCAUUAAAAUAAAAAAAGUGACUUCCCUCCAA